rnacentral:pre_miRNA from 2 species
UGUUAAAUCAGACUUUUCAAACAAUUCCUAGGCAAAACUUACAGAAUCCAAAAGCAUUUCCUAGAUGUUAUUCACAAUGCCUGAAUUA